rnacentral:tRNA from 1 species
GUGGUUGUAGCUCAGUGGUAGAGCACGUGCUUAGCAUGCAUGGGGUCUUGGGUUCAAUCCCCAGCACCACC